AAAUAAUUCAACAUGGACAUAUGAGUCAUGAUUUGACUGAAAAAGCUUAGGCCCUAUGCAUCAAAACAUUAGAGCUAAAUAAAGGAGCCUACAGUUGUGCCUACCUGGUUAUUAUUGCCCGGUGUAAAUUAUGUUCAAUCCAGUUAUACAAGUCAUUGAGAAGGUAGUAAACAAAAUCCUAUUCAAUUAUUCUUCUCAGUGUAGCCUACGAAUGAAGCAGCGGACAUCCUGCACGAUUGCCUGGUAACAAAUAUAUAGGUUCCAAAUGAACUUGUUAAUCACCUCAGCUUGCAAUAUUUGUGUCCUCUAUGCUCUUUUCUCAGUCUAUUGUGUACAAUCCCACUUUGUUGUUCUCAUAAUGAGCGUUAUUCCUUGAAAUGGAGUAGUUGCUAAAGUUGAAACGCGGCGCACGCAACACAGCUCUGUAAGCUACUGAAGGGGAAACGCAUUGGCAGGUGGAUACAGCGCGCUCGCCGGUAUCCUGCAUAGACACACCCAUGGGGCGGGAACUUACCUUAGCGGCGACGCCUCUGUACCUCCCUCUUGAAAAUAAACUGGAACACAACCGCAAGAUUUCACGUCUACAAUAUCCAGGGUCCACAGAGAAUACUUCAAAAUGAGAAGAUCCUACCAUGGAAAAGAUGACUUGGUGGACAAAGUGGAAAGGAGGGGAAAUAACUCCCACCAUGCAGCAGGACCCCUUCAGCUGUGGGGUCUUUGUAAUGCAGAGUUCAACAAAGCCAACAACUGCUUCAUGUGUGCCACUGAUAAAGAACCUGGAUGUGGCCCAAAGACUGACUGGGAAUGAAGACACGAGUUCAACAGAGUAA
rnacentral:lncRNA from 13 species